rnacentral:misc_RNA from 1 species
GAUGAAGAACGCAGCGAAAUGCGAUAAGUAAUGUGAAUUGCAGAAUUCAGUGAAUCAUCGAAUCUUUGAACGCACAUUGCGCCCGCCAGUAUUCUGGCGGGCAUGCCUGUUCGGGCGUCAUUACAACCCUCAGGCCCCCGGGCCUGGCGUUGGGGAUCGGCGGAGCCCCCCGUGGGCACACGCCGUCCCCCAAAUGCAGUGGCGGUCCCGCCGCAGCUUCCAUCGCGUAGUAGCUAACACCUCGCGACUGGAGAGCGGCGCGGCCACGCCGUAAAACACCCAACUCUUCUGAAGUUGACCUCGAAUCAGGUAGGAAUACCCGCUGAACUUAAGCAUAUCAAUAAGCGGAGGA